rnacentral:rRNA from 1 species
GACGAACGCUGGCGGCGUGCUUAACACAUGCAAGUCGAACGGAAAGGCCCUGCUUUUGUGGGGUGCUCGAGUGGCGAACGGGUGAGUAACACGUGAGUAACCUGCCCUUGACUUUGGGAUAACUUCAGGAAACUGGGGCUAAUACCGGAUAGGAGCUCCUGCUGCAUGGUGGGGGUUGGAAAGUUUCGGCGGUUGGGGCUGGACUCGCGGCUUAUCAGCUUGUUGGUGGGGUAGUGGCUUACCAAGGCUUUGACGGGUAGCCGGCCUGAGAGGGUGACCGGCCUCAUUGGGACUGAGAUACGGCCCAGACUCCUACGGGCGGCAGCAGUGGGGAAUAUUGCACAAUGGGCGGAAACCUGAUGCAGCAACGCCGCGUGCGGGAUGACGGCCUUCGGGUUGUAAACCGCUUUCGCCUGUGACGAAGCGUGAGUGACGGUAAUGGGUAAAGAAGCACCGGCUAACUACGUG